AUGCGCGAAGGCUCAGAAAAAAAUACGUUGCAAAAGAGAAUGAAAAAAAAAAGUGAAACGUAAGAGCGAACAUUGUGUCCUCGUUUGUUGGUCUCUAACCGUCAGUGCACUCAUAUGCUUUUAUACAUUUGAGCCUCUUAGCCAUGGCAAUGCCUUCCAGCAUCAAGAUUUUGCUGCUCUUGGCAAUAGUUUGCCGGCUUCUUUCCAAGAUACAACGGAGUAAUGCGGCGGACCGACAACGCGGUGGUGGAAAUCGGUCGCCUUCUCCGCCACGCCACCUACAACAAAGAAGACGUAAUAUGGGAGGCCAAGGAAACGCGCCAAGAGGCGCUAAUGGAGGAGGAGGUGAUGCACAUGCGAGAGGUGCACGGGGACGAAGAAAUGCUAUAGGUGGCGAUACUGGUAAAAGUAAUGGAUAGGCGCCAUCAAUAUUACUGUGACCUCUGCCGCUUAGCGAUGGUUAUUUGAAUUAUCGACCGAAAAACAACUACGGAUCUUCAAUAAAUAGUUACUCGCAAUUGCUCGGCCACUCCACAUAUCAGUCUCUGUACGUCACACGCAUGCAAAUAUUCCCGCUUUGGCCGGAGUGUGCAGCACGUACGGCAUAGUUCUGUAUUUGGUUUACAUAUGAAAUUUCUAUUGUAUAUGAUUGGUAGGUAAUAAAAAUGUUUUUAUUUUGCAGAA